rnacentral:tRNA from 1 species
GGGGGUUUAGCUCAGUGGUAGAGCGCUUGCCUAGCAAGCAUAAGGCCCUGGGUUCGGUUCCCAGCUCA